GAUGAAGAACGCAGCGAAAUGCGAUACGUAGUGUGAAUUGCAGAAUUCAGUGAAUCAUCGAAUCUUUGAACGCACAUUGCGCCUGCCAGCACUCUGGCAGGCAUGCCUGUUCGAGCGUCAUUUCAACCAUCAAGCCCUAGGCUUGCGUUGGAGCCCUGCGGCUGCCGCAGGCCCCUAAAAGCAGUGGCGGGCUCGCUAUCACACCGAGUGCAGUAGAUUACUCUUCGCUCAGGGCGUGUGGCGGGUUCCAGCCGUGAAACCCCCUACUUCUCAAGGUUGACCUCGGAUCAGGUAGGAAUACCCGCUGAACUUAAGCAUAUCAAUAAGCGGAGGA
rnacentral:misc_RNA from 1 species